UCUGCAACUAACACAGGCAUCAGGCACCCUCAAAUCAAGCAGUUGGUCAACAAUAUAGGGUGUGGUUUGUCAGGGGAAACAGAGCUACCUGUGGUUUUAACCUCUUCUAUUACAAGAAGGAACAAUAAAACAGAAACAUUUGUAUGGAAAA